UUCAAAGCAACAGUAAAAGAAUGCUAACUGAACUUGGGAAAAGAAUAGAUGAACACAGUGAGAAUUUUAACAAAGAACUAGAAAAUAUAAAAAAGAACCUGUAAGAGCUGAAGAGUACACUAGUAGGAAUUAACAGCAGAUUAGGUGAUACAGAAGAAUGCAUAAGCAACCUAGAACACAGACUAAUGGAAAUCACCCAAUCAGAAAAGCAAAAAAAAAACAAAAAAAAGUAAGGAUAGUUUAAGGGGCCUCUGAGACAGCUUCAAGUGUACUAACAUUCACAUUAUAGAGGUCCCAGAAGGAAAAGAGAGAAAGGGGUAGAACAUGUAUUGGAUAUUAUAAGCUGAAAACUUCCCAAACCUGAAGGAGGCAACAUUUCCAAGUACAGGAAGCACAGAGAAUCUCAAACAAGGUGAACCCAAAGAGACCCACACCAAGACAUAUCAUAAUUAAAAUGGCAAAAGUCAGAGAUAAUUUUAAUGGCAGCAAGAGAAUGGAACGACAUAAAACUAUCACAUUUUUCUGCAGAAACGUUUCAAGUGCUGAAAGAGAAAAACCACAACCCAGGAUACUCUACCCAUCAAGGUGUAUCACUGCAAAUGCUGCUAGCAUCUUGUACAUUUUGAUAUGUAUGACAGCUUACCACCCUCACAGUAGUGGAGGCUUAAUGGGCCAUCUCAUCUAAUCCAGCCUCAAAAUCUGCUCCCACGGAUCACUCACUCAGAAGCCACUUCCACAUCUGCCUAAAUUCUCAAGAGAAUCCUGGGACGCGAGAGCUGUCCGGAGAGCCAGUGGACUGUCUCUAUAGGCUCCAGAAGAGUCCUGGAGAUACUUGCUGUUUCUGAACUCCUGUGAACUUAUUAGGUCAGAAAUAACUUAAGUUUUCAAGGACACAGGCAAAAAAACAAAGACAAAUGGCCUCUAUUCAGUAAGGUUACCUCUCAAACUCUAGUAAGCAACAGAGGAGUGGGAAAAAGACAAUUCCAAAAUCAGAAGUUGACCACAGUGCUUUUUAACUAGUAUGAUGAAGUGUUCUUGUGGCUCAAGGUCUUAUCUGGGCGUGUUUAUCAAAGAAUUUAUAAAGUUUUAUCCUCUGCAAAAGAGUAAGAAAACUUUGUAAAAUGUCAGAGAAUCACUGCAAAAUAUGCCACUAUUGACACUUAGGCAUGAUACCUAACAUUUCAUAAAUUUUCAAAAUAAGGAGUUUGAAUGAAAAAAAAAUUUACAACUGUUAUUUUCUCUCAGGACUCAUUAACUUUUGGAAAGUACUUCACUGGAGGUCAAAAUGUACUAUUUGCUAGGAAAAUAAAAAAUAUUUUAGUGACAAAGUUCUAUGUGGUUUCAAAGCUAAUUAUCAAUCUCUUUGACUGUGUUUUGAAACUGCCAGUUUUAAGCCUAAAAUUAUUCAAAUGCCAAUGCUGUUAUGGUCAGCAUGAGAAAUAAAUUCUAUACAAUUUCUCCAGCUUCCAAAUAAAAGGAUUUCUAUAGUCAGAAAAUCUGUUUAUAAAUUAUAAUAUAAAAUUAAAAAUUCACCAUAUUUUAGCAUCAAAAACAUAUGACAGGAAAAAGAAUCAUGUAUUGAAUAUAACAGAAAAUAGGCUCUGUUCCUAUUUAUAAAAAAAUCUCAUUAUAAAAGUAAACUGGUGGAGCAGAAAUAUGGUAUUCAGUUCAUCGGGUUAUGCCUCAGGUGUAAGGAAAUGCGUUGAACCAAGCGGCAGUGUGGGUGGUGGGAAUGGAAAAUGAAACAGGUGAAAUGGAUAGUUCAUGAAAGAGGUAAUUUUCCUCAUAAAGAUGUAUAAUUCUCAACUGAAAGAUGAUUUAGUCUAAGCCAGGAAAUACAUUUAAGUGGAACAGGUAAAAAAGAUACCAAUUUUUUUAAUGGGGGGGCACUGCAAAUGUGAGAGGCUGGUAAAGUUGAAACUUUUACCACAAUCCUCUCCCCAAAUCUCUGACACUUACUGUAGUGCUCCAGGAAGGGAUAUAUUUCUUUCAAUAAGCUUCACACAAGUAUUUUUUAUGGAUACAUAUACUUUCUAACAUAAAUAAACCAAAGCCAAAUGAAAAUAGAAACUUAUCAGAAACGUAACAAUUCCCUGUCUAUAUCUUAAAUAAAAUGAUAUAAUUUCCAGCUUCUAGUUAAUAGCUCUAAGAGGAUGUUCAUAAAGAGUUAAUUCUGCUUAAUACAGGGAUGAAACCUAUCUCCUAGGGAGGUAAGAGAAGGGUGGGGAGAGAAGGGGAUUUAUCCAGUAUUGUAUGGAGAGCCCAGAGACAGUCUGAAAUCUUAUUUUACCGUCUCUCUCUUUCCUUCCCUUCCUUCUUUCCUUCUCUCUUUUAGUCUAAGUAAAAUACCCAAUGACCAGGAAUUUUCUGUCAAUCUCUUUAAGCUAUAAAAAUUUUAGGCACACAAACUGACAAAAUAUAUAAAACCCAAACAUCCAAUUUAAAUAUUUUAGGCAUUUUUAUUUAAUAAAUAACUUCAGUAAAUAGCAUUGUAAAAAGUGAACUGUUAAAAUUAAAAGGCACUUAAAAUAGAAUGUGGCUAGUAUGAAACCAAACAGGAAAUUCAAACAGUGAGAAGUAAAUAUACAGUGGUCUGUUACAUCACUAAUUGAAAUUAAGAAUUGCUUAACUGAUGGCUGUUGCAUAAGCCAUAGUACAAUUUCACAUGGUCAUUAAAAAGGCAAAUGUACAGCUAAAACAUCAAUGAAAAAGUACUGAUAACAAGUCUUACCCAAAAUUGCAAACAAAUACAUUAAAAGAUUAGAAGAGGUGAUAAAAAGCACCAGGCUUUAAACAAAAUGAAUAAAAUAAAAUAAAUUCACCCAGAGGUCCCCAAUUCAGCAAAUACUAUGUAAAUUAAGGCCUUUAUAUAAAUCAAGGACUUUUUUUUUGCAGAAAAUUCCCCAAUACUUUUAAACAAGCCUUGAAUUUAAAAAAAGAAGGCAUAAAAGUUACCAAGAUUAAGUAACUCUUGAAAUGGCACACAGGUUUUAAAGCUAUGUUUUCCCUUCCUAACUCUCUGACUUUUCCCAUGGCCUUUGUAGAUCAAACAUUUCAUUAUUUUACACAAGCAACUCCCAACAUACUCAUCUUUCAGAUACAUCAUGUUAUCAGUCAUGUCUAAUAAGGAAAAUAACAAAAUAACAAAUUUAAAACAAUUCUAAACUAGCUAGAAGGACAUUCACUUUGGAUUCUGUAUAACUGAAAAGUGACAUAUAUCUGCAAAGCAAGAAAUCAGUUUUAAUACUUGAUUAAGAGAAACUCUCAUCAUACUCAUUACUUUAACUACUGCCCUUUCAAUCACUCUAGAAAUAUCGCUUAAUCCACUAAGAGCUGGAUUUCAACAGUCCAGGAGGAAAAGGUCAAAAAGGCACAAUGCAACCUUAGAUGAUAAGGAUAACCAUCCUGUCUCAAGUCUUCUGUCAGUCCCUGGCAUUGAUUAUAACAUUAUUUUCAAAAUAAUAAAAAAAUUUUCAAAUUAUACAUAUUGUACAUUUUCAGAACCUGCCCAAGAGAGAACCACAGCAACACUGCCCUGAAACUACCUUACUGUGGGUGUGGAAUUACUACUUUGCACUCAGUGUUGUGGAUACGCACUGGCAGCGCUCAUUUUCCCUCAUACUUCGGAUUGACAACAGUUGUCACAGCACUCUUAUAAAUAGGAUUUUCACCCUAAAAAAAAAGAGAAAAGUUAUCAGUCACUCUACUGAAGUCAUGUAACAUUAUUUAUAAGACAAUAUUAAAAGUAAAGAUCGUUUUCAUAAGUCAUUUCCAUUUUAUCUGUCCAGGCAUCACAGUGAAUUUUUUAAAAGGCAUUAAAAAGUUUACACAAAAUUUGAAAAUGAAAGCUUUGCCCUACAAGUCUAAAGGUACCCCUGUCAUCUGGCAUUAUUUCCUUUCUGACCCAUUCCUCCACUGGAGGGCGUGCUGUUAACGGCUUCUCUCUUUUAAACUGGUUUUGAAUGGCUGUCUUGAAACUAAUUUUGAACUUAAGGAAUUCUUCUGCCAUCAACUGCCUGAUUCUUAACCCUUUACUGUGCACAAAGGUGCCUGAUAAUGAAGACUCCUUGGCUUUUCACCUCUGUGAGGGAGAUAUUCUUCUGAGGCUCUGCCACAAAAGUUGUGGAGAGUUCUGGGGUAAGACUGUCACAGUGUCACUGCGAGCACAGGACCUCCACCAAGGCAUCACAUUGCCCCAUCUGCUUAGACAAAAAUAAUUUCCAUUCUUCAUGAAAUAAUUGCUAUUCUUCAAUAUCGUACUGAUGAAAUAUUUUAUUUUAUUGUUAAUUCUGUAUUUUACUAAAAAGUACUGAAAUCAAGCCCAGUAAAUGACUCCAAGCCAUAAACACAAGAGAUUUUUCAAUAUCCAAAACUUUACUGACACAGGAAGAUAACAUACAUCCCCAUGCUAUCAUUUUCUUAAAAAAUUCUCUUAUGCUAAGUGAUACAUUUAAAUGCUACAGCAUUCUUUCUCCUGCUUGAAAGUCAAGUGAGAAAUAUGGCCAAAUAUUCCUAUCUCAGAGGAAAUAACAGUGAGCACAAAUGAAACAAAUAUUAAAGAAAAACUUAAAACAUUUAAAUUUUAGGCAGAAAUUAAGAUUUUGAAAUGCUGUUUAGUUUUAUAUCUUACUAUAGAACCAUUUGAGGUGAUUUCAAAAAAUAUAGAAGGCAUCUAAACAGUAAUUUUUGCUUUUAAAUUUUAUUCACACUUGACUGCAGGUUAUAUUUGGAUAUAGUUUCCAUUGCCACAAUUUCUGCCUCCUACGAGGGUACAGUUUGGUGGAUGACAAACAUGAAGAUAAAAUUAAGGCGCUCUGAAACAGUACAAAAGAGAAUUAUGUACAUAAAAAGGGAACAGUAUAAGAAAAAAGGGAUUGACUCUGAGAAGAUCAGGGAUAUUGUCAAAAUGAAACUGACUGUAGAUAAAACACUGAAAGGUAUACAGACACACAUACACAUGCAGUCAAGGUGUUGGGGAAAGAAUGGCACAGUUAGGUAGAAAUAUACAUAGCUCAGAAGUUUUUAAAGGGUGCACGUGUAUGUUUUGAGGAGUGGGGAAGGGAAAGGAGACAAGAAAGAAGACAGUGCCAGAUCACGAAAGGUCCUGUGUGCCAUGCUAAAAAGACUGAAUUUAUCUUGCAGACAGGAAAUCACUGAGGGAAAAUGCAACAUAUAAGGGCUGGGUCUUGAGAGACACCAAAUAAACCACUAUGACUUCAGCUUAGCAGUGAGCCUGGAUACCGACUGAAUCGUGCCCAAGUGCCUUAGCCCCACCCCACAAAACACAAUUUGACCAGUCAUUUCUGAAACAUGGAGGAACUCAGGAUCCCUCAGAGACAAACAUCAUAUAAUCUGGAUGAUAAAAAAUCUCAUAGGAUAUCAAACUCUGAGCUGUCAUCCCAACUAGAGCUAAAAUAUGAUUAUACAGACAUUAUAGCAGACAUUUCAUAAUGGAGACCGGAGUCUGGAUCCCGGCAACUACAUUGCUAAUGAGUGAUCAGUACAAGUAAGUUACAUUCUUUAUUUCCACCUUCCUAUUAUAUGAAGCUAGGACUGCCCAUUCUUUCAAAUAUGCUAGGAAAAUAAAUUACCAUUUAAUUGUUUCUUUAAACUAAUGCAUUAGAUAAAUCUAAUGUUUAAUACUUAUAAGGGAGGUAACAACAACAACAAAAAAUGGAGAACAACAACAAAAAAAAAAAGAAAGAAAAAAACACCUAAGUUAUAGAUGAAUCCAAAGUACGAUUUACACGGCAAAACUUACCUUUGGAGAAAAGUUUGCCUUUUCAUAUACACAAACAUUUAUACUUAUUAUUUCAAAGUCCAUCCAAACAAAAUUUUAACAUGCAAGGUUAGAGGUAAAAUUAAAUUAUCUGCAUUGGGCAUCACCUUAAACGAAGGUAAGCUAAAAUAAUGCAGAUUAGUUCCCACGUUCAGAGUGCAACCCCUCCCCAUCCCAACAAAAAGCAAAGCCUAUUUAAAUCAAGAGAGCAGGGUUAUGUUCAGCAGUGACGUCCUCUGAUCUCAGUAAAUGUCAUCCUGUGCUCCCUCUGGAAGGGCGGACAUGGUGACAGCAUCAUUUCUGUGGUGUGUUAGAAAUGCAGUGCACAACCGCGGGGAUUAGCAGCCCACAUUUAAUGUGCUUAACAGCUUUAACAAUUACAAAGCUGAUAAUCUGAUUUUUUUAAUGUACCUACAUGAGUAGUCUUAUGUGCUGAAAUAAUCAGAGUGCCUAUUAUUUGAAAUAUGUUAAUGAUAUAAUUGACUGGCAACCUUGGUCCCAUAUUGGAAAAGUGCUUUAUAAGCCAUGAUUUGUUUUAAUUUCUUAAUGCUCAUUCAUUAAUUUCUAUUGUUUAUUUCUACUUUAAUUUUUCUUGAGAAAACAUCUCAAAAUAACCUGUAGCCAUUAAUUUGCCUGGAUUUCACUAAUGAAUAAAUUUUUACAAAACUUUCG